rnacentral:rRNA from 1 species
CCGUGAAUACGUUCCCGGGUNUUGUACACACCCGCCCGUCAAGUCAUGAAAAGUCGCCAAUACCCAAAGUCUGGUCUUGUACCGGCCUAAGGUAGGGGAGAUGAUUGGGACU